UACGGAGGUGGCAAGCGUUGCUCGGAAUCACUGGGCGUAAAGGGCGCGUAGGCGGGGAGGUAAGUCGGGUGUGAAAUCCCUCGGCCCAACCGAGGAACUGCGCCCGAGACUGCUUCUCUUGAGUCCCGGAGAGGAAGAUGGAAUUCCCGGUGUAGCGGUGAAAUGUGUAGAGAUCGGGAGGAACACCGGUGGCGAAGGCGGUCUUCUGGACGGUGACUGACGCUGAGGCACGAAAGCGUGGGGAGCAAACAGG
rnacentral:rRNA from 1 species